UCACCUUUGAAGGAAAAGCAUCAGAAAAAAAUUCACAAGGUAUGAAGAUGUUUUAAUGAGUUAACUGCAAAACAAUCCUACUUGCUGGAUGAAUAUUUAGUUUUCUUUCCAGGCUGUGCUCCAAUUUUUUGCAUCAACCUGACUUAGGCUGCUCAGAAAACAACCUGAAUCAAGUGAUUACAGAAAAGCUAACCAUGCUAAAAGGAGACCAUGCU